rnacentral:piRNA from 1 species
UACAGUGAGAAAUGAGAGGAUGAGAUAUGC